rnacentral:rRNA from 1 species
AGGGCACCACCAGGAGUGGAGCCUGCGGCUUAAUUUGACUCAACACGGGAAAACUCACCCGGCCCGGACACUGGAAGGAUUGACAGAUUGAGAGCUCUUUCUUGAUUCAGUGGGUGGUGGUGCAUGGCCGUUCUUAGUUGGUGGAGUGAUUUGUCUGGUUAAUUCCGAUAACGAACGAGACUCUAGCCUACUAAAUAGAUAGUCGGCUUACAAACGUCGACUAGACUUCUUAGAGGGACAGGCGGUGAUUCAACCGCACGAAACAGAGCAAUAACAGGUCUGUGAUGCCCUUAGAUGUCCGGGGCCGCACGCGCGCUACACUGAAGUGAUCAGCGUGCUUUUUCAGCCUACUCUGUCAAGAGUGGGAAACCCAAUGAACCUUCUUCGUGAUUGGGAUAGGGGAUUGUAAUUAUUCCCCUUGAACGAGGAAUUCCCAGUAAGCGCGAGUCAUAGGCUCGCGUUGAUUACGUCCCUGCCCUUUGUACACACCGCCCGUCGCUACUACCGAUUGAAUGUUUU